CCAGCCUCGGGUCCGGGUUUUCUUCCACUCCUAGUGCCCCUAGUUUUCCCAUUUUUGUUUCUUUUCGUCUAGCCCUUUCUUUGCCCCCCUGUUUUGUUUCCAGAUUUCCUCUCUCGACAGGGUGUGCACACAGAAGGUGCUCAAUAACUGUUUGCUGGAUCGGAGUGGCGCGCUGAUGUGGGCUGAGGACGCUGGGCCGCAUUCACCCCGGGUCUGGCGCGAAUUGGCGGCGGGGCUCCGGACACUACUUCGGGUCCAGCCCAGUCCUUUGAAAUCAGUUGCUUGAUUAUCAAGAGAGGGCAGAGUGGGCAGGGGGAUCCCGGGCCUGGUCCUUUACGGAUCAAUUUCCUUCCCCGGUGGGGAACACCGGAUCAAUCACGCUAAGUCGCCACCUACCGCGCCAGGAGGAGUUGCCGCGCACGCCGCCUCCUCUGCGCCUCCCAACAACCCUAGAAGAUUUUUUCCCAAGGGAGGUGACCAUGGUCCAGAGAGGUUACGUGAUUUCCCUAAGGUCACACAGCCAGUAAGGGGCGGAGUAGGGAUUGGAGCCCUGAUUCCACUCCGGGGCCCACGCUUUCCCCGCCAUGCCCAGCUCCCUCUCCUUGAGGGUCAUGUAUUGCCUGGAUGGCUCUUUGGGGCCGGAAAAGGCCCGCGAAGCGCGCGUGUCGCUGGAAACAGGCAGCGUGGAACCGACCCUAGCUCUACGAAUUUAACUCGUUGGUGCCCUGACCACGAGCAAACGCCAUCCCUCGGGAAUAAGAGGGACACCUCACCUGCCCUCAAUGCUGUCUGUGAAGGCGUUUUCCUUUUUUGGGGAGGAGACAGAAUCCUCUAUCUGCAAACUCAGCUUCUGGCCGCGCUGGCAGGACCAAAAGAGGCCGGCGGUCCGUGGCGUGGAACCCCGGGCGGGAAUGAGAUGACCGGCGUCAGGGGACCUGGGGCACUCCUAGCUCUGGGCGCAGAUGAGCUGCAGCCUUAAGCCAUGAGAGCGAGUGGGAGCCUCUGAGCCUCGAAACAGCCACGACGCUCCACAGCUCUCGCAGAAGCUUUCACCAGGCCCGGCCGUCUGUGAUGUCUGCGAGAGAAUUACUGACAGGCAUUUCCCCAAAGUGCUCAGAAUGCAGGUGAAUUUAGGAAACUCAACUAGGAUGAACCUAUGAGAAGAGUCAUCGAAGUUGCUAGCGUUUCAGUCCUUUCCUGGCUCUGUCGUUGGGGGAAGGAAGAGCGAUUUUUGUUUGCCGAGCACCCACUGGGUUCCUUGCUCCUGUCCCUUCAUUUAAUAUUCAAUCAACAGCCCAGGGAGAUGGGCGUCCCGUCCCUGUUGUUCAGGGACUCCUGGAGCCCAGGGUGGGUAAGUCAGUUGCUCAAGAUCACACAGUAAAGGAGCCAAUGUUUGGGAUCAAAUUAAGUUCUGUGUGACUCUGAGGCACGUCUCCUUUCGGUCCACCCACAUUUGCCUUAAGUGCCUUUUUUAACACAGUAAUAAGCUCUGAAAGCGCUCGAAGUGGUUGCAAAAAUACACAUCAAGUAAAACACUUAGAAGAAGAAGAAAGAAUGUCAAAAAAAAAAAAAGCAAACAAAAACCCAACAAACCCCAAACUCUCUCCUGGUGUUGAUGAUUUUCACUGACGAUUAUAAAGAACCCAAAAACUCUUAAAAUCGUCUUUGGACUUGUUAAUCAUGGGCUGGUAAGAGAAGGCUAAUGAAAUGUUAUUAGUUUUUUUCUUGUUAAAAUCGUCUUUCAAAUAAUCCCGUUCGUCAUCCGUUUUUUUAUGAGGAACAAAAACAAAUGUUUUCCAAAGCUUCAAACCAAAAUCUCUGUGUGGGUUUCUUGUUUUGAGCCAAAUAUUCCAUGUCUUUUCCCAGCUGGGAAUUCCUUCCCCUCGUCCCUCUGUUGCUCCAAGUCUGAC
ensembl:lncRNA